GAUGAACGCUGGCGGCGUGCCUAAUACAUGCAAGUCGAGCGAACGGACGAGAAGCUUGCUUCUCUGAUGUUAGCGGCGGACGGGUGAGUAACACGUGGAUAACCUACCUAUAAGACUGGGAUAACUUCGGGAAACCGGAGCUAAUACCGGAUAAUAUUUUGAACCGCAUGGUUCAAAAGUGAAAGACGGUCUUGCUGUCACUUAUAGAUGGAUCCGCGCUGCAUUAGCUAGUUGGUAAGGUAACGGCUUACCAAGGCAACGAUGCAUAGCCGACCUGAGAGGGUGAUAGGCCACACUGGAACUGAGACACGGUCCAGACUCCUACGGGAGGCAGCAGUAGGGAAUCUUCCGCAAUGGGCGAAAGCCUGACGGAGCAACGCCGCGUGAGUGAUGAAGGUCUUCGGAUCGUAAAACUCUGUUAUUAGGGAAGAACAUAUGUGUAAGUAACUGUGCACAUCUUGACGGUACCUAAUCAGAAAGCCACGGCUAACUAUGUG
rnacentral:rRNA from 1 species